GGCAACCACACACGUGAAAAAGAAGUAGGCAAUGAGACUAAAGAGAAUCCUUGGGCUCACUUCCCCAUGGUCAUUCCGUUUAACAUCUUCAAAUGUAUAAGGUUGUUAAUGCCUUUUUUAGGACUAUGUGCUUUGGUCCUCUGUGAUUCAGAGUCCAUCUGGAAUCUCUUCAUGGCCGCUGCCUCGCUGGCACGGGCUUUGGACUGAAGCAAGCUUAGGACAAGUUUGGGUUCUAGAGAGCGGCAAGCAGAGUAUCUGUUCGGACAUCCCUUGCUGAUUUUUAGAUGUGACUGCCAGACUCCUGCUGGUCUCAGGUCCAGAGCCCUGGCCGCACCCCCCCCCCCUUCCUCAACCAACGUCUUACCAGUCUUCCUCAACCAACGUCAACUCCCAGGGCUGACACCUUGGAACAUGGCCUCUCUCAAGCCUCAAGCCCCAAGCUGAGCUCCUGUCCCUACCUCAGGCAGGAUCUCACGGAUGCUUCUAAUGAAGUUCUCUCCGACUCUGUCUGAGCACCCACCACGCGAGGAAGGAGCUGCGGCCGACGGCCCUCAGCCCCGGCUGCUGACAGCAGCGAUCCAUCUCCAUCACCAUGAAAAUCUCAGGCCCAGCUUGGUUGGGAAACCUACUGAAGGAAAACCCUAUAGUUAGAAAACAGAGAGCCAACAUAUGCUCCCCAACUGGAG